AACGCAUAUUGCGCUCGAGGCUUCUGCCGAGAGCAUGUCUGCCUCAGCGUCAGGCUUUGGCCACAUCCAUACACCCUUGAGGUUGGCAUGAUGUGGAUCUGGUUGUUCCAGCAUGGCUGGCCUUGUGCCUCACGCAUGCUGGAUCAACUGAAGCAUAGAGGCUAAUCAAGGACCCACUAAGGACCGCAGCUGGGUAGGCAUUUUUGAUGCUAACAUCUAGCUGUUGGUCUGGGACCCUGCGUUUGGCCCUCAAACAGGAACUUAUUUUUUUAAUGACCUGAGUUUAGGCAAGAACACCCGCUGAACUUAA
rnacentral:misc_RNA from 1 species